AUGAUAAUUCCGUCGUGCCCCAUCCCAGAGGGCCAGCAGCAGACUCCAAUGGAGUUGCAAUCAUACACGCACAUGCCGGAUCUCCUGGAUUAUCUAAUACCAAGACUAAAAAUGCGAUUCCAGAAUGUAGAGAAAGCAAGGGAAUUUUAUAACAGAUAUGCUAGACACACAGGAAAUGAAACAAAAACAUCGCAGAGGAUAGGCUGCAACGCAAGAAUGAGGGUGAAGGUGCAGGAGGAUGACACAUGUGUGGUAGUGGACAUUGAGUACAAUCACAAUCACCACCUCAUGCAAUCUGAUGACAUACUGGUAUUCUUGCACUCACACAAGAAUUAUGACCCCAAUAUUCUAGAGUACGUAAAGCUCCUGCAGUACCAUGAUGUCAAGCAUACAACAAUCAUGUCCAUGCUAUCUGAAAAUGAAGAUGGAAGCUACUUCCUAAGCAUGACCGGACGAGACCUACUAAACCAGAAAGCAAUGAAUGCAAGGAAAGAUGAUUUGGAUGAUGUGUUGAAACUUGUAUCUUUCUUUAAAGACAUGAAGGCAAUCAAUGAUGAGUUUUUCUAUGACAUACAAACCAAUCCUGUGACAAAAACAACUUACGGCUACGAGGAAGACAUGUCUAUCAAGUACACGAGAUCCGUGUACACCAAGAUGAGGACUAGGAUAAGAAAAGCGAUGCUAUUUUGCGCAAAGCCUACAACAGGGCCCACUAAGUACCUUGUGUACUACCACAACAAGGCUGGUCAUGAUGAUGAAGAAAGAUUUGCCUGGUCAAAGCAUGAAUUCCAGGUUGUAGCUGACCCUGAUAAUGAAAUAUAUGAGUGUGAAUGCAAGCUAUGGACACACACAGGCCUGUUCUGCCUUCACAUCAUGAACAUACUAGACUACCAGAAGCCUGACAAAUUUCCAGACAAGUAUAUCCUCAAACGAGCCUUCUAUGUUCUCAAGAGGCUAGUGGAAGAGCUUGAUGCAAUACAAUCAGCAAAUCGAGCGGAUGCUGACCAAAGGAUGGCUGAAGAGGAUGCUGAAAUUGAAGAUGACCUUCAUUAUUAUGCAGCUAAAAUGCUCCCGGCCGCUGCUUAA
rnacentral:rRNA from 1 species